AGAGUUUGAUCAUGGCUCAGGACGAACGCUGGCGGCACGCUUAACACAUGCAAGUCGAACGAGAGAAGAGGAGCUUGCUUUUCUGAUCUAGUGGCGGACGGGUGAGUAACACGUGAGCAAUCUGCCUUUCAGAGGGGGAUACCGAUUGGAAACGAUCGUUAAUACCGCAUAACAUAAUUGAACCGCAUGAUUUGAUUAUCAAAGAUUUAUCGCUGAAAGAUGAGCUCGCGUCUGAUUAGCUAGUUGGUAAGGUAACGGCUUACCAAGGCGACGAUCAGUAGCCGGACUGAGAGGUUGAUCGGCCACAUUGGGACUGAGACACGGCCCAGACUCCUACGGGAGGCAGCAGUGGGGAAUAUUGCACAAUGGAGGAAACUCUGAUGCAGCGAUGCCGCGUGAGGGAAGAAGGUUUUAGGAUUGUAAACCUCUGUCUUCAGGGACGAAAAAAGACGGUACCUGAGGAGGAAGCUCCGGCUAACUACGUGCCAGCAGCCGCGGUAAUACGUAGGGAGCGAGCGUUGUCCGGAAUUACUGGGUGUAAAGGGAGCGUAGGCGGGAUCGCAAGUCAGAUGUGAAAACUAUGGGCUUAACCCAUAAACUGCAUUUGAAACUGUGGUUCUUGAGUGAAGUAGAGGUAAGCGGAAUUCCUAGUGUAGCGGUGAAAUGCGUAGAUAUUAGGAGGAACAUCAGUGGCGAAGGCGGCUUACUGGGCUUUAACUGACGCUGAGGCUCGAAAGCGUGGGGAGCAAACAGGAUUAGAUACCCUGGUAGUCCACGCCGUAAACGAUGAUUACUAGGUGUGGGGGGACUGACCCCUCCCGUGCCGCAGCAAACGCAAUAAGUAAUCCACCUGGGGAGUACGACCGCAAGGUUGAAACUCAAAGGAAUUGACGGGGGCCCGCACAAGCAGUGGAGUAUGUGGAUUAAUUCGAAGCAACGCGAAGAACCUUACCAGGUCUUGACAUCGUAUGCAUAGCUCAGAGAUGAGUGAAAUCUCUUCGGAGACAUAUAGACAGGUGGUGCAUGGUUGUCGUCAGCUCGUGUCGUGAGAUGUUGGGUUAAGUCCCGCAACGAGCGCAACCCUUACUGUUAGUUGCUACGCAAGAGCACUCUAGCAGGACUGCCGUUGACAAAACGGGGGAAGGUGGGGAUGACGUCAAAUCAUCAUGCCCCUUAUGACCUGGGCCUCACACGUACUACAAUGGCUGUCAACAGAGGGAAGCAAAGCCGCGAGGUGGAGCGAACCCCUAAAAGCAGUCUUAGUUCGGAUUGUAGGCUGCAACCCGCCUACAUGAAGUCGGAAUUGCUAGUAAUCGCAGAUCAGCAUGCUGCGGUGAAUACGUUCCCGGGCCUUGUACACACCGCCCGUCACGCCAUGGGAGUCGGUAACACCCGAAGCCUGUAGUCUAACCGCAAGGAGGACGCAGUCGAAGGUGGGAUUGAUGACUGGGGUGAAGUCGUAACAAGGUA
rnacentral:rRNA from 1 species